AGUUAAACAGUACGUGAAAUUGUUGAAAGGGAAACGAUUGAAGUCAGUCAUACCAACGGGAAAUCAACCUUUUGAGCUUGGUCUCGUGGGUUUUGAAGAGUUUCAAAGCCUUCGGAUUCGCGGGAUUGGGAUCUCUUGUUGUACUUUUUCGUUCGGUUAGUCAACAUCGGUUUUGAAUGUCAUAAAAUGACUGGAGGAAUGUAGCUUCGAUCUCGUAUUGAAGUGUUAUAGCCUUUGGUAGAUGUGAUGUUUGAGACCGAGGAUUGCAACGGAUACCCUUCAGGGCUAUUCGUCUGAUCUCUGAUACGUUGCCUUGAUGUUGAAAGCUUGCUUAUGAUGUUAGGGUAUUACGGUCAAAAGGUUAGAACGAAUUACAUUCGUUAAGGAUGUUGACGUAAUGACUUUAAA
rnacentral:misc_RNA from 1 species